UGAAAACUUCAUUCAAACCAAGGUUACCUUUAUGUAUUUUUCAACUCUCCACACAAAAUGCAUACUGUGUUUAAAAAAUAAUUUAGCACCUUUUUCACUAAAGUUAAGACAGCAGUACAGAGCCCCUCACAUGAGAAACUCCACAAGCCCUUGAAAUAUGAAAGCAGCAAGAGCCCCAGAGAUUAUUUUUUAUCAACCACUUAAAGUAACACGAAGGACUGUUUCCUAUUAUAUCAUCAUCAUCAUCAUCUGUGUGCAAUUAAAUAUCAAACUUCUUUCAUGACAGAACAAUGUAAAUAUUAUAUUAGACAGCUUUCACACAAAAAUUGCUGGAUGUUGGUCAUGCUCACAGACACUCUGUUUUCAACAUACUGAAUAUCUCACACCAACAAUUGCAUAGUCACCUGCUUGCUCUCCUAAUCUACAUUAUUUGCAAAGAGAUGGUCUAGUGUGUGACAAAUCGGAAAAUAUGAACAGUGUGUGUGUGUAGAUAUGAACAGUGUUGGUGGAACACUGGAGAAAAAUUAACAUAUGAAGCAAUUAAAAAUUUUCACCAAAUACAUUUCUCAUAAAGGGCAGCGUACACAAAUUCAUUAAUACCAGUUUUGUGAAUUUAAUUACAAUAUUUUUCACUUACAUUUACAAGAAGGAAUCUAACAUUACAAAUUAGUGCUAUUAGCAGCUCUAAUCUUUUUUUCAUUUUAGUAUAUGUUCUCACAAAAUAUUUCAUACCACUUUGCUUUUUGAAAUUAAUAUAUUUCUAAUCUUCUUAAUCACCCAGAAAUGAGCUGUUAAUAUUUCAGGGUUUAUUAAGACCAUCCUUGGUAAGGAUGAACUGCAGCCACAAA